ensembl:lncRNA
AAGCACCUGUUGCUGAGGAACAAGUUAUCCGUGUUGAGGGCACGGGGUUGCAACUUGUAUUAGAGGGAAAUGUUAUGCUACAGAUAGGUAUUGUUGUAGAAGGUAAGGAUGUAUCUGAAGAGCCAGUUCCUCAGACUGGUGAGCAGGUGCCCAGUACGAGUGCUGGGGUAAAGGAGGGGGUUCAUGUGGAGCUAGGCUCCCAGGUAGUGGAGGAGAUGCCCACUGCGAGUAACGGGAUACAGGAGGGUUUUCAUGUGGAGCUAAGCUCCCAGGUGCCCACUACGAGUGCUGGGGUUCAUGUGGAGCUAGGCUCCCAGUUAGUGGAGGAGAUGCCCACUAUGAGUAGUGAUGUUCAGGUGGGGCUAGUCUCCCAGAUAUUGGAGGAGAUGCCUGGUACGAGUGAUGAGGUGGAAGUGGGGAGUGUUGAAAGGGAUGUUGAAGAGGGGAGUCAGUUGUCUGUGGUCUCAGCUGAGGAUCAGGA